rnacentral:rRNA from 1 species
AAGUCCUUCGGGAUGAGUAAAGUGGCGCACGGGUGAGUAACACGUAGGUGACCUGCCGUUUAGAGGGGGAUAACCAGAAGAAAUUUUGGCUAAUACCGCACACGAAGAACAAAUUUAAAAAUAGUUCUUGAAAGGAUGCCUCUGUAUAUGCAUCUACUAAACGAUGGGCCUGCGGUACAUUAGCUAGUUGGUGGGGUAAUGGCCUACCAAGGCGACGAUGUAUAACGGAUCUGAGAGGAUGAUCCGUCGCACUGGAACUGAGGCACGGUCCAGACUCCUACGGGAGGCAGCAGUGGGGAAUAUUGGACAAUGGGCGAAAGCCUGAUCCAGCAAUUCUGCGUGAGUGAGGAAGGACUUCGGUCUGUAAAGCUCUGUUAAUGUGGAAAAAUGGUAGUUGGUCUAAUAGGCCGAUUAUUUGAUGGUACACAUAGAGGAAGCACCGGCUAACUUCGUGCCAGCAGCCGCGGUAAUACGAAGGGUGCAAGCGUUGUUCGGAUUUAUUGGGCGUAAAGCGCGCGUAGGCGGACCUGUAAGCCAGAUGUGAAAUCUCGGUGCUCAACACCGAAACUGCGUCUGAACUGCGGGUCUUGAAUCUUAGAGGGGGAGUGGGA